rnacentral:rRNA from 1 species
GACGAACGCUGGCGGCGUGCUUAACACAUGCAAGUCGAACGGAGUGGCGAACGGGUGAGUAAAACGUGGGUGACCUGCCCUGCACUCCGGGAUAAGACUGGGAAACUGGGUCUAAUACCGGAUAGUGUGGGAUGGGGCCGGGGGCUAUCAGCUUGGUGGUGGGGUAAUGGCCUACCAGGGCGGCGACGGGUCGCCGGCCUGAGCGGGUGGACGGCCACAUGUGGACUGAGACACGGCCCAGACGCCUACGGGAGGCAGUAGUGGGGAAUAUUGCACAAUGGGCGGAAGCCUGAUGCAGCGACGCCGCGUGGGUGAUGACGGCCUUCGGGUUGUAAACUCCUUUCACCAUCGACGCGGUAGAUGGAGAAGAAGCACCGGCUAACUACGUGCCAGCAGCCGCGGUAAUUC